GGCUCCUUGGGAAGUUAGCCCGCGCCGUGGGACCGAGAUGUGGGGGUCCUCCGCCAACCCCUGUCCUCUGGCGGGGGUCCUCACCCCAGCCCGUCCUGACCACGCCUAGGGCAGGACUGCAGCCCCUCGUCCCCGUCCAUCCCUGGAAGGGACAGGGGCAGUUUCAAAACGGAAGCGGAGCGUGUCUCCUCCAGGCCGGGCUUGCUGGCUGUCCGGAACAUGGGACACUGGUUUCACAGUAACCGUUGAGUAACUUUUGAAGGGGAAGAGAGUCUUAGCUCCUCCUGCGUUGCAACACAGUGAUAAUUUCUGACUUCACUCUCAUAGUGUGGGCUUGAUAACUUCACCUGAUGGUUUAUUCUCAUUUCGGUCUCCUGGAGGAGGCCUCUGUCCUUAGGAAGUUGCAGUCUGCAAGGAGAAACAGUGACAGUGACUUCAGUACAAAGGCAUCCUGUGAUAUGUGUCCCAGGCAUGUCACAGACAAAGGACUGGAAUUUCAAGGCUGUUGA
rnacentral:lncRNA from 1 species